rnacentral:tRNA from 2 species
GGAGAGAUGGCAGAGUGGCUGAAUGCACCACCUUGCUAAGGUGGCGUGGGGUUUACACCUCACCGGGGGUUCGAAUCCCCCUCUCUCCG